UACAGAGGUCUCAAGCGUUGUUCGGAUUCAUUGGGCGUAAAGGGUGUGUAGGUGGCGCCGUAAGUCGGGUGUGAAAUUUCGGAGCUUAACUCCGAAACUGCAUUCGAUACUGCGGUGCUUGAGGACUGGAGAGGAGACUGGAAUUCAUGGUGUAGCAGUGAAAUGCGCAGAUAUCAGGAGGAACACCAAUGGCGAAGGCAGCACUCUGGGACGUGACUGACGCUGAGACGCGAAAGCGUGGGGAGCAAACAGG
rnacentral:rRNA from 1 species